rnacentral:rRNA from 1 species
AGAGUUUGAUCAUGGCUCAGGAUUAACGCUGGCGGUAUGCCUAACACAUGCAAGUCGAACGGAAUACUAAUUAAGAGAAUCUCACACUAGUGAGAGGUUCUCACGAGUAGUAUUUAGUGGCGGACGGGUGAGUAACACGUUGGAACCUGCCCCGAAGUGGGGAAUAACUGCUCGAAAGAGUAGCUAAUACCCCAUAGUAUCCGGUUAUCCGGAUUAAAGAUUUAUCGCUUCGGGAGGGGCCUGCGUCUGAUUAGCUAGUUGGUGAGGUAAAAGCUCACCAAGGCGACGAUCAGUAGCUGGUUCGAGAGGAUGACCAGCCACACUGGGACUGAGAUACGGCCCAGACUCCUACGGGAGGCAGCAGUGAGGAAUCUUCCACAAUGGGCGCAAGCCUGAUGGAGCAAUACCGCGUGCAGGAAGACGCUUUUCGGAGUGUAAACUGCUUUUGUCGUCGAAGAUUAUGACUGUAGACGAAGAAUAAGGACCGGCUAACUACGUG